rfam:Danio rerio chromosome 4, GRCz11 reference primary assembly.
GCAGUGGUGGUACAGUUGUAGAAUUCUCGCCUGCCACGCGGGAGACCCUGGUCCGAUUCGUGGCCAAUGCA